CUACGUAGGGGGCGAGCGUUGUCCGGAAUGAUUGGGCGUAAAGGGCGCGUAGGCGGCCCGGUAAGUCUGGAGUGAAAGUCCUGCUUUCAAGGUGGGAAUUGCUUUGGAUACUGCCGCGCUUGAGUGCAGGAGAGGUUAUCGGAAUUCCCGGUGUAGCGGUGAAAUGCGUAGAGAUCGGGAGGAACACCAGUGGCGAAGGCGGGUAACUGGACUGCAACUGACGCUGAGGCGCGAAAGUGUGGGAGCAAACAGGAUUAGAUACCCUGGUAGUCCACACUGUAAACGAUGAAUGCUAGGUGUAAGAGGUAUCGACCCCUUUUGUGCCGGAGUCAACACAAUAAGCAUUCCGCCUGGGGAGUACGGCCGCAAGGUUGAAACUCAAAGGAAUUGACGGGG
rnacentral:rRNA from 1 species